UCGAGGAUCUUCGGCAAUGGGCGCAAGCCUGACCGAGCGACGCCGCGUGUGCGAAGAAGGCCUUCGGGUUGUAAAGCACUGUCGAGGGGGAGAAAGCCCGCAAGGGUUGAUCGACCCCUGGAGGAAGCACGGGCUAAGUUCGUGCCAGCAGCCGCGGUAAGACGAACCGUGCGAACGUUAUUCGGAUUCACUGGGCUUAAAGGGCGCGUAGGCGGGUCCUCGAGUCGGUGGUGAAAUCGUUCGGCUCAACCGGACAAUCGCCUUCGAUACUGGGGAUCUCGAGGGGGGUAGGGGCAUGCGGAACUUCCGGUGGAGCGGUGAAAUGCGUAGAUAUCGGAAGGAACGCCGGUGGCGAAAGCGGCGUGCUGGACCCUUUCUGACGCUGAGGCGCGAAAGCCAGGGGAGCAAACGGGAUUAGAUACCCCCGUAGUCC
rnacentral:rRNA from 1 species